rnacentral:tRNA from 5 species
UGGAGUAGUACUCAAGUGGCUGAAGAGGCGCCCUUGCUAAGGGUGUAGGUCGGGAAACCGGCGCCAGAGUUCGAAUCUCUGCUACUCCGU